rnacentral:ribozyme from 1 species
GGUUGUAAAUCUGACACCAUAGCAGAAGCACUCAUGGUGCAACCCUGUCAGAUUUAAAUGAAUCUGCAAAAUUCUGCU